rnacentral:rRNA from 1 species
CCUACGGGUGGCAGCAGUGAGGAAUAUUGGUCAAUGGCCGGAAGGCUGAACCAGCCAUGCCGCGUGAAGGUCAGUGCCCUAUGGGCGUUAAACUUCUUUUGUGCGGGAGCAAUAAUGGUCACGUGUGGCCAGACGAGAGUACCGUACGAAGAAACAUCGGCUAACUCCGUGCCAGCAGCCGCGGUAAUAAGGGGGAUGCAAGCGUUAUCCGGAUUUAUUGGGGUUAAAGGGGGAGUAGGCUGUGAGGUAAGUCAGCGGUGAAAUGCCCCCGCUCAACGGGGUGAAGUGCCAUUGAUACUGCCUUGCUGGAAUGCGGAUGCCGUGGGAGGAAUGUGUGGUGUAGCGGUGAAAUGCAUAGAUAUCACACAGAACACCGAUUGCGAAGGCAUCUCACGAAUCCGCGAUUGACGCUGAUGCACGAAAGUGUGGGUAUCAAACAGGAUUAGAUACCCUGGUAGUC